rnacentral:lncRNA from 1 species
AUGAACUGCAAAGAUGACAUAGAAAGGUCCUCUAGGUAUCUAGGUGUAUUUGCCACAGUACCUCUAAGGAUAUCAAAGUCAACAAAGGAGGCAAGAAAUCAUUGGAAAGAAACAAAUCUCCUGCAUCUAGAGAUAUACACUGAAGAUAUUGUUCAGCUUGCAGUGGUGAAAAGAAGUUGUUCCCUAUUGACACCUGGCUUUGAACAAGGAGGAGACUGGUCCAGAGCUGCUUUAAAACUCCAGAUAAACAAAGAGCAUAGUGAAGGUCUGCACUGCGGUCUGCAGCAUCCAGAGGUCUACAGUGGAGUCUGAGCUACACAGGAGCUGCAGAGGUGUACAGCAGGAACAGUAGCUGCAUCUGAGAAGCAGCCGCUCAGUGCUUUUCCAGAGUUAAUUAGCUCUUCUCUUCAAAUGAGCUAAUUAGCCUGAGCACAGCCCUGCACUGACACAACCAUACUGGUCUUGGAGCUGACUCAUUAGCUGGCUUGAUAUCCUCUUCAUUCACUAAUGUAGAUACUCAGAGCUCAGAAGAAAAGUAUGUCCUGGUAGUUAGGUACUAGCUUCUGUACUAAUUAGUAUCUGAACAUUUUAUAAAAUGUGGAAGAAUUUCAACAGGAAUAAAAUCAGUGUUCCAAAUCUCA